GCAAGUGGAACGCAUGCUUGAUACCGGAGCUUGCUCCACCAUUAAUCAUGAGUCGCGAACGGGUGAGUAACGCUUAGUUAACCUACCUCAUAGCGGGGGAUAACUAUUGGAAACGAUAGCUAAUACCGCAUAACAGUAUUUAUCGCAUGGUAAAUGCUUGAAAGGAGCAACUGCUUCAGUAUGAGAUGGACCUGCGUAGUAUUAGCUAGUUGGUGGGGUAACGGCUCACCAAGGCAUCGAUACAUAGCCGACCUGAGAGGGUGGUC
rnacentral:rRNA from 1 species